UGAGCCCUUGCUGCUUUGCUUGCGUUGCUGUUACACAGGUGUCAUUCGCUGUUUUACUGUAGCACUAUGUAGCAGACAUCGAAGUAGCGUUAACACAGGAAAUGAGUCUGAAAUAUAUACCAGUAUACCUCUAACUCCUUCCUUGCCACACUGUUAACCCGAAUUCUCACCAUAAAUUGCUGUUAAUUAUUUUUUAGGACUGUAGUUGUCCACAUGUUUAUUUGCUGAGAACAAAAUUGCUUGUGCUUGCACUGACCCAUGGAUUGUGCGCUGCAACCUCCUGAGGUUGCGGGUUCAAUUCCAGCUACAGCGGCUGCAUUUUGAAGGGGCGAAAUACUCUUGUGUACUUAGAAUCGGGUGCACAUUAAACCGAGGUGGGUCAAAAUUAAUACAGGGUCGCUCACUAGAGCAUGCCUCAUAAUCGGGUCGUGGUUCUUGCACAUAAAACCACAGAAUUUCAUUCGUUUGUGUCACUAACACUACAAAUGAGAAAAAAAAAACUGCGCAGCAACUAGUAGAUGUAAACACUGAAAAUAGUAUUGGUGUGCAAUACAGGCUAAGUUGAUGGUUGCGUGAAGCUAUGACAGGCUGCUGACAUGCAAAGACAGUGACUAGGGUGCUUAGCUGUAAUAAUACGAUAGUGUUAGAGCACACACUCUUAAGAAACCCGCCGUGGUUGCUCAGUGGCUAUGGUGUUGGGCUGCUGAGCACGAGGUCGCGGGAUCUAAUCCCGGCCACGGCGGCUGCAUUUCGAUGGGGGCGAAAUGUGAAAACACCCGUGUGCUUAGAUUUAGGUGCACGUUAAAGAACCCCAGGCGGUCCCCCACUACGCCUCAUAAUCAGAUCGUGGUUUUGGCACGUAAAACCCCAUAAUGUUACACACACACUAAGAAAAACUCGUCUGUGUCAAAAUUAGAAAUAAAUUGCCGCUAUUUUUACUCAUUAUUUCAGGGAAAACUUGGUUAAAUCGAGUUUAGUGCCCAUUAGUUUCGUUAGUUCGGGUUGAUGACAUCAACCUGCCGGGGAAUGAAAAUUUCUUCGGUAGAUCGGGAGCUUUAACUGUAUUAUUGAAUCAAAAUUCAAAUGGCUUACAAGCAUAGUGAAAUAAUUUUCUCUGCAGAAGUAGUUGAGGUUUUGAGUGAACAAGUUCGUGUCAUUAAUAAAUUAAAAUCUUUUAUACUAUUCAGAUUUGUCCAGAAGCUGGUUUCAGGGUUGAACUCUGCCCAGUACUUAAGAGCUUGCGCUGUAAGCUUGAAUAAUGAGCAGUGCAGUAUAGAAUGUGCAUUUCAGCAUGUUAUGCUACCUGCGAAAUGAGGCGCUACAAAGCCAUGGAUUAUGCAAGCUUUCACUGGUGCAGCUUUUUCAACUCCAGGGAUGUAGGGUUUGUAGUAUUGUCUCGAGGCUUCUUUUUGCUACAUGUCGCAUGUUGUGCUGCUAGUCGGGGGCUGUGUCCACGGUCAGCGACUUUCAGGAAUAUAUUUUAUCUUGCUGUGAUUGCCUUGGCUAGCAGGAACAUGCGUGUCUGAUUGUGACAUGUUGGCAAGGUCAUUUGCUGUUAGUUUUUGUGUAAAGCUGUUUGUUUGGUUGUGAAGUACAUUAAUGAUGUGCAGAAACGUGAAAUCAACAGAUGGUUGUUGCUUUAGCAAUAAGUGGAGAGUCACAUGAAAGUAACAGCUUUUGCAUAGGAGCUGAUCAUGGUGUAAAGUUCCUGAACAUUUCCUGAAUUCCAUAGCUCAGUGCCUGUGGUGUUCUGCUAAGGACAAGGUUGGCGGGUUCAUUUCUGGCCGCAUUCCAAUGGGGGUAGAAUGCAAAAAUUCUGUGGUUUAAUUUAUUCUGGAGCAUGUCCUUCUGCCAAACCAAAUUGUGGUAGUUUCCUGUCUUGAAACUGCACAUUUGGUUAUCACUGGCGCCAUAGCAGAGAGCUCCAGAUUAAUUUUUGCCACCUUUUGCCAGCUGAGUGGACCGUUUUAUUUUUAAAAAAAACUGCAAAACAAUACCAUCACUGUGUCACUAAUUAACAAGCACAUCGCCAUUUCACCUGCCACAAGCAGCGUCGUCUUUACCAUCUGCACUUAACUCGCCGAGUGCAAGAGUGCGGAGAACUGGUGCACAACUGGUCCCUACGUAGUCGUGGUCAGCGCUGCACUAUAAUAUCGAGGACUGCGGAGCUGUACUUCCUGAACUUGUACAAAAACAAAAAAUGCAUGCAAAUCCCCAAGACUAGUAUAUAAGUGCAUAUGUAUUGCAAACUCAAGGUGCUGCCUUGUUAUUGUUAUGAAAGAGCUUUUGCGUGCAAGCCUUGUCUAUUCUGGGUGAUUAUGCCUUCAUGUCGAAUGUGGAUCAUUGAGUGCGCAUAUUAGGACAAAAAAAAGUGUGGGACUUGCGUUACAUCGACUUACAAGAUGCAUACCUAUCGUUUCACAUGUGACAAUUUUUUUGCCAUACGUGAGAGGUCUUUCUAGCGUUUCCUGCUAUGUAUGAAAUAGAGUGCAGUGAACUUAAGGCACUGCGCCAAGUUAAAGGAAGCACAUUAUUAAACUACACUGUCAUAUUGACUAAGAGUGCUGCCCUCCUUGUACCAACAACUAGAUUAGCCUGAUAGAGGAGACUCACCAUCUAGCAUGUUGCUCAAAGCUCAAUUUUGGAUCCUAGGAUGAGGUCAUGUUCGUUGUGAACAUGUCAAUUUAUUUUUUGUCUAACAUGACUUUUCUUGUUCCUUUUCAGGUCUCCAGGUGAAAGAGCUCAAGUAAAUAAAUGGAUUGCUAAAAAAA